AUGCACUCAGACCAGGAUCCUCCUCCUUUUCUUCCUUCACAGUUGUUCUCCGUCUUUGUGUUCAUCUGUGUGCCAUCCCCCUCCUUCCAUGUCACUACUUCUGUCCCCCUUGCGCAACCACACAGCUACAAUUUCACUACAGGAGACAUAUCAAAUGUUUUGGUUUGCUUGGUAAUCUGUAGAUGUAGGUCAAUCGUGCUGAGUCUGGCUCCGCCUCCUCCCCAUAUGAUAUGACAUCACUCUGCGGUUACCACAGAAACCAGGGCUCCACUGCAGACGGUUGACAGCCAAGCAGGUGAGUUAUUAUUGUGGUGUUGGAAAACUGCAGACAAAGCACAAUUUAAUAACGGCACAGGGACGCAUGGCAAACGCAUGUGCAUUUACACAGGCAUGUGAAUGUGUUAUGAAUAGCUCUUGCGUUCUGGUUAAAAUGUGAGUAUGUGUGUGUUGUAAAAGUCUAAGUGUGAACACGUGUUUGUAUUAGUACGCAGAUUCCAAGAGUGACAUGUGUAUUGCAUUAGCAACUAUGGCUCUUUGGAUCCUCCUGUGAAUUCCUUUUGUUAGAUGUGUGUUUGCCUGUAGUAGCAGGAUUUUUUAUGCACACACCCGGUCUCAGUCUGGACUCCUAAUUCAGCAAAUUGAUCCCUCCCUUUUAGGUAAUGUCCAAUCAUGCUGAUUUAAUACACCCAUACGUACGCACUCUCACGGCGUGAUUAAUGAUGUGUCAGUAAAGCAUUCGGUGUGCUCUUGUAAGCUCUGUUUCUGCAAAGGCAAAGUCCACAGCAGAGGAGAGGAAAAGGGUUAGAGAGCAUUUUUCUUCAGCUUCAUAGACACACCCCACCACAACAACAUUUCUGAGAACACUGUAUUUGUUUGCGGUGUAAAAUGAUACUGCAGAGAUUCUGCUCAGUUUGUUGGAUUUUAGACUGGUCAGUGGUUUCAACUGACUAAAGAAUUUUCCCGCCAACUUAUAGGAGGGCACUGACAGCAUUGAGCUGCGAUAAGGCGACUGGAUAUAAUUUCCAAUGAGAGCCCAUGACAGUUGGCAGCAAAAUAGUGUUAAACUGAGCUUAGAUUUAUGCAAAUGAGCAGCAAAGAGAUUUGGCGACAACCAAAUUGAGUGCAGAAAGUGAUCUAUCGCCAGAUACAGUUGAAUACCUGAAACUAUAAUAAUAACUGAAAUCCUAAUGAUAGGGCAGUGCAAAUAAUCAAAUGCGAUUUUCAUGCGCAUCUU
ensembl:lncRNA